rnacentral:rRNA from 1 species
AGUGAACGCUGGCGGUAGGCCUAACACAUGCAAGUCGAACGGCAGCACAGUAAGAGCUUGCUCUUACGGGUGGCGAGUGGCGGACGGGUGAGGCAUACAUCGGAAUCUACUUUUUCGUGGGGGAUAACGUAGGGAAACUUACGCUAAUACCGCAUACGACCUACGGGUGAAAGCAGGGGAUCUUCGGACCUUGCGCGAUUGAAUUAGCCGAUGUCGGAUUAGCUAGUUGGCGGGGUAAAGGCCCACCAAGGCGACGAUCCGCAGCUGGUCUGAGAGGAUGAUCAGCCACACUGGAACUGAGACACGGUCCAGACUCCUACGGGAGGCAGCAGUAGGGAAUAUUGGACAAUGGGCGCAAGCCUGAUCCAGCCAUACCGCGUGAGUGAAGAAGGCCUUCGGGUUGUAAAGCCCUUUUGUUGGGAAAGAAAAGCAGCAGGUUAAUACCCCGCUGUUCUGACGGUACCCAAAGAAUAAGCACCGGCUAACUUCGUG